CGAGUCAGCCGGGCAAUUGCUGCAACCCGACCUCUCUGAGGCAGGGCUUGAUCAAGAGGAAAGUCCGGGCUCCACAAGGCAACAGUGCCGGGUAAUACCCGGCGGAGGCAACUCUAGGGAAAGUGCCGCAGAAAAUAAACCGCCCUAAUUGAAAUUUUAAGGGUAAGGGUGAAAAGGUGAGGUAAGAGCUCACCGCUUUUUUGGUAACAAAAAAGGCAUGGUAAACCCCACUGGGAGCAAGACCAAAUAGAGAUCUUUUGGCGUUACCCGCGCCGGAUCAGGGUAGGUCGCUUGAGAUUAUUGGUGACAAUGAUCCUAGAUGAAUGACUGUCCUCGACAGAACCCGGCUUACAGGCUGACUCGCUUU
rnacentral:RNase_P_RNA from 1 species